rnacentral:rRNA from 1 species
UACAGAGGUCUCAAGCGUUGUUCGGAUUCAUUGGGCGUAAAGGGUGCGUAGGCGGCGCGGUAAGUCGGGUGUGAAAUCUUGGAGCUUAACUCCGAAACUGCAUUCGAUACUGCCGUGCUUGAGGACUGGAGAGGAGACUGGAAUUUACGGUGUAGCAGUGAAAUGCGUAUAGAUCGUAAGGAAGACCAGUGGCGAAGGCGGGUCUCUGGACAGUUCCUGACACUGAGGCACGAAGGCCAGGGGAUCAAACGGG